rnacentral:rRNA from 1 species
UACGGGAGGCAGCAGUGAGGAAUAUUGGUCAAUGGAGGCAACUCUGAACCAGCCAUCCCGCGUGAAGGAUUGAAGGCGCUCGACGUCGUAAACUUCUUUUAUAUAGGAAUAAACUUGGGUACGUGUACCCAACUGAAUGUACUAUAUGAAUAAGCAUCGGCUAACUCCGUGCCAGCAGCCGCGGUAAUACGGAGGAUGCAAGCGUUAUCCGGAUUUAUUGGGUUUAAAGGGUCCGCAGGCGGACCGGUCAGUCAGUGGUGAAAUCCCGUCGCUUAACGAUGGAACUGCCAUUGAUACUGCCGGUCUUGAGUCUAGUUGACGUAGGCGGAAUAUGACAUGUAGCGGUGAAAUGCAUAGAUAUGUCAUAGAACACCGAUUGCGAAGGCAGCUUACGAAACUACGACUGACGCUCAUGGACGAAAGCGUGGGUAGCGAACAGGAUUAGAUACCCUGGUAGUCCACGCCGUAAACGAUGAUCACUCGAUGUCAGCGAUAUACUGUUGGUGUCUUAGCGAAAGUUUUAAGUGAUCCACCUGGGGAGUACGUUCGCAAGAAUGAAACUCAAAUGAAUGACGG